rnacentral:lncRNA from 1 species
CGUCUUCGCCCGGCCCGCCGGAGGUCUUCCCCCCUGUCCCGUCUUCGCCCGGCCCGCCGGAGGUCUUCCCCCCUGUCCCGUCUUCGCCCGGCCCGCCGGAGGUCUUCCCCCCUGUCCCGUCUUCGCCCGGCCCGCCGGAGGUCUUCCCCCCUGUCCGUCUUCGCCCGGCCCGCCGGAGGUCUUCCCCCCUGUCCCGUCUUCGCCCGGCCCGCCGGAGGUCUUCCCCCCUGUCCCGUCUUCGCCCGGCCCGCCGGAGGUCUUCCCCCCUGUCCCGUCUUCGCCCGGCCCGCCGGAGGUCUUCCCGCCUGUCCCGUCUGAGCCCUCUUCGCCGGAGGUCUUCCCGCCUGCCCCGUCUGAGCCCUCUUCGCCGGAGGUCUUCCCGCCUGCCCCGUCUGAGCCCUCUUCGCCGGAGGUCUUCCCGCCUGCCCCGUCUGAGCCCUCUUCGCCGGAGGUCUUUCCGCCUGCCCCGUCUGAGCCCUCUUCGCCGGAGGUCUUUCCGCCUGCCUCGUCUGAGCCCUCUUCGCCGGAGGUCUUUCCGCCUGCCUCGUCUGAGCCCUCUUCGCCGGAGGUCUUCCCGUCUGCUCCGCCUCAUGGGAGGCCGCCGGACUCCUGGUCCCCUGCUUCGCCGGAGGUCUUCCCGUCUGCUCCGCCUCAUGGGAGGCCGCCGGACUCCUGGUCCCCUGCUUCGCCGGCCUCCGCCUCAUGGGAGGCCGCCGGACUCCUGGUCCCCUGCUUCGCCGGCUCCGCCUCAUGGGAGGCCGCCGGACUCCUGGUCCCCUGCUUCGCCGGCUCCGCCUCAUGGGAGGCCGCCGGACUCCUGGUCCCCUGCUUCGCCGGCUCCGCCUCAUGGGAGGCCGCCUGAACUUUGUUUCGACCCUCCUCCGGACCCCCGUCCUCCCACCCGGGUUUGGUGUUUGGGGUGGGUAGAAUUUUUGUUUUUGGAGCGUUUGGAACCCGCUCCUUAAGGGGGGGGUUAUGUUAGGUUCUGUUUAUUUUAACCCUUGGGUCCUCUUUUUGUUCUGUC